GAUGAACGCUAGCGACAGGCUUAACACAUGCAAGUCGAGGGGCAGCAUAGAAGUAGCAAUACUUUGGUGGCGACCGGCGCACGGGUGAGUAACGCGUAUGCAACCUACCUAUCAGAGGGGAAUAACCCGGCGAAAGUCGGACUAAUACCGCAUAAAACAGGGGCACCGCAUGGUGAUAUUUGUUAAAGAAAUUCGCUGAUAGAUGGGCAUGCGUUCCAUUAGGUAGUUGGUGAGGUAACGGCUCACCAAGCCGACGAUGGAUAGGGGAACUGAGAGGUUGGUCCCCCACACUGGUACUGAGACACGGACCAGACUCCUACGGGAGGCAGCAGUGAGGAAUAUUGGUCAAUGGGCGGGAGCCUGAACCAGCCAAGUCGCGUGAAGGAAGAAGGAUCUAUGGUUCGUAAACUUCUUUUGCAGGGAAAUAAAGUGCAGGACGUGUCCUGUUUUGUAUGUACCCUGAGAAUAAGGAUCGGCUAACUCCGUGCCAGCAGCCGCGGUAA
rnacentral:rRNA from 1 species